rnacentral:tRNA from 1 species
ACCGACCUUAGCUCAGUUGGUAGAGCGGAGGACUGUAGUGCGUUCACAGAUAAUCCUUAGGUCGCUGGUUCGAAUCCGGCAGGUCGGAUAC